AGAGUUUGAUCCUGGCUCAGGACGAACGCUGGCGGCGUGCCUAAUACAUGCAAGUUGAGCGAUGAAGAUUGGUGCUUGCACCAAUUUGAAGAGCAGCGAACGGGUGAGUAACGCGUGGGGAAUCUGCCUUUGAGCGGGGGACAACAUUUGGAAACGAAUGCUAAUACCGCAUAAUAACUUUAAACAUAAGUUUUAAGUUUGAAAGAUGCAAUUACAUCACUCAAAGAUGAUCCCGCGUUGUAUUAGCUAGUUGGUGAGGUAAAGGCUCACCAAGGCGAUGAUACAUAGCCGACCUGAGAGGGUGAUCGGCCACAUUGGGACUGAGACACGGCCCAAACUCCUACGGGAGGCAGCAGUAGGGAAUCUUCGGCAAUGGACGAAAGUCUGACCGAGCAACGCCGCGUGAGUGAAGAAGGUUUUCGGAUCGUAAAACUCUGUUGGUAGAGAAGAACGUUGGUGAGAGUGGAAAGCUCAUCAAGUGACGGUAACUACCCAGAAAGGGACGGCUAACUACGUGCCAGCAGCCGCGGUAAUACGUAGGUCCCGAGCGUUGUCCGGAUUUAUUGGGCGUAAAGCGAGCGCAGGUGGUUUAUUAAGUCUGGUGUAAAAGGCAGUGGCUCAACCAUUGUAUGCAUUGGAAACUGGUAGACUUGAGUGCAGGAGAGGAGAGUGGAGUUCCAUGUGUAGCGGUGAAAUGCGUAGAUAUAUGGAGGAACACCGGUGGCGAAAGCGGCUCUCUGGCCUGUAACUGACACUGAGGCUCGAAAGCGUGGGGAGCAAACAGGAUUAGAUACCCUGGUAGUCCACGCCGUAAACGAUGAGUGCUAGAUGUAGGGAGCUAUAAGUUCUCUGUAUCGCAGCU
rnacentral:rRNA from 1 species